rnacentral:rRNA from 1 species
GGAGGUCUCGUCUGCACAAUGACCUGCGGGUUCAAUUGCCGCGGUACCCUGACCGUGCUAAGGUAGCGUAAUCAUUAGCCUAUUAAUUGUUGGCCUGUAUGAAUGGCAUAACGCUGGUGGCGCUGUCUCUACGGUGAUCUAUUGAAUUUAACUUCUUGGUGAAAAGGCCAAGAUGCUUCUAAAAGACGAUAAGACCCUGUCGAACUUUAGGCUAACCGUCGAUGCGGUGUUUAGUCAUCUUCGUCGGCGUCUAACCUUUGGUUGGGGAAACCGAGGACCAAACAAAGCGUCCGUCCCCCCCACUGCUUAAGCCAAAAGGUUAAUUAUAAAAAGGGGUUAGUAUAAAGAUCUGGCGGGAUGAGAGUUAUUAAGGUUGAUCCGGAAACUUGUGUUUCGACUAUGGGAAAAGUUACCGCAGGGAUAACAGCGUAAUCCUCUCGGAGAGACCACAUUAAUGAGGGGGUUUGCGACCUCGAUGUUGGCUUGGGGCGUCCUAGAAGUGCAGGGGCUUCUAACGGUUGGUCUGUUCGACCAUUAAUGCCCUACGUGAUCU